rnacentral:lncRNA from 1 species
ACGAGGACUAUUCAUUCACUCUCUCUCUCUCUUCGCGAUUUACAAAGAAUGGGGAGGGGCGGGUGGAAGGGGGAGGGAGGAAGGUGGUGGUGGUGGUGGUAGUGGAAGGUGAUGGAAGUGGCACCGUUGGGGGAAGGGGCGGCGGGAGAGGGCUGGGUGAAUAGAGAGCUAGGGUUUCCAAAAGUAGUAGGAGGCGAGAUAAUUUUUGUAUAUUGUGAUUUUUUUUUUAUCAAAAAUCGCAUCCUAAUUUAAAAGGGAGUGGUGUAUUGAGAAGGUAUUUGUACGGAGAAAAAAACUGUUAGCAAAUAGAAUAAGAGUAAAUUUUACCAAUUGACCUUGUAGUUGGAAAAGCGUUUCACUUUGGUUCAUUUAGUUUUAAUUUGAGCAUAAAGAAACUUAUGAUUUUAAUUUGGUUUCAAUGUCGUCCUUUCCUCAAUUCUCGGUAAGAAUUUGAAAAAAGAAUUAGCACGUGAAGCUCGUAUGACUCUUUCUAAAAGGUAAUUUUACCACAUUGGUACUUGUAGUUUAGCCAAAAUUUUACUUUAAUACCCUAAAAAUGGUAAUAUGAGUUUUCAUAUUCUUACUCUUUCUGUUUAAAUUGUUAACAAAUAUUGAUGAAGAACUAUAUUAAAACAAAAUUGAAAUUUUAAAGUUCUAAUUAUUAAAAUUAAAACUAUAGAGACCAAAGUAAAAUUAUGAUCAAAUUAUAGAGUUUAAUAGUGAGAUUUACCCAACAGAAUAAGAGGCGUAUUGAUAAUGGGCUUGCGAGUAUUUUCCUUUAGAAAAUUUUAAAAUAAAUUAAAAAAUUUAUAGUUAUUUGAGUCUCGUUUUCGGGUUUUUCGGGUUUUCAAAAAGAUUUAGAAACAAAAAAUGUUCAUAAACACGUUUGGUUAAGUUUGCUCUCUUUUCUUGACAGUUUCUAAACUUGUUUUUCAUAUUUUUUUUCAAAAAGUCUAUUUCGAAGAGAAUGUUUUCUCAUUAUUCAAAAUAAAUGAUUCAGAUACACUUGAAUGUGUGAAUUUCAUAUAACCAAAUGAAUCCGAAUAAUUCAUUUUGAAUUCUAAAAAUUUUUUUGGGUUAAAAUUAUAGACUGUAACAAUGCUGUUUGAGAAUUCCGAAAUAUCUAUUUUCGGUGUUCCACGAAAGUGGAUUGUUGUUAAAAGGCCUAACCAUAUGGGGUAAUCCUUGGAAAUAGACCCUACAAGGGCUCAUAACACUGUUUGGAUUCCGAAUUUGAAAAAAAAGAAAAUAUAAAUAAAAAAUUAAACGAUUUAAUCGGACCAUUAAAUUAUCUACUUUUUUCAUUUUUCAUUCUCUUUUUCCUCAUUAAAUCUUUGUUCCAAAUACAAACUAAGUAAUUUUUAUAUAGGCGGCCACUCAACUCAUAUAGCAGUAAGCUGCGGACUUCCGACUUGAUUUUUUUUUUUAAAUACCUUUUUUUUGGUUGCAGGUGGGUGGCCAAAUGCACCAGAUGGUCCAUAUGCAUGGAGAUAUUGCUUUAUUAGGGUAAGAGAUACCUCAAAUGACUAUUGUACCCCGCAGAGAAUAGCCAUGUGCGCCUGGAAGAAAAUACCAUGGCCAAGGAACCAUUCAACUCACUCAGUAAGCUCCCUGUUUGCCUCAUUAAUUGAAUUGGUUCUCAUUAAUAAUAGGCACCCAAAAUUUUACGCGAUAGUUAGUGAGGUAUACGGUAUAGAUUUAGAGUUAGUGUCAUGCAAGACAAACGAAAAAUAAUUUUUGUCUAUAUAUUUCCAAUUCUGGGUAUUUUCUAAGUAAAAAUCUUAGGUAGUAUUGUUGAUUGAUCAUCGAAAAUAACUUAUGUGCAGAAUUCUUCUGCAAAAAUAAUAUGGCUUUUUGUAAUUUUUCUGUGUCAAACUAAAAAUACUACUACAUUAGAUUUUGUGAAAUAAUAUUUUCAAUAAGACACAGCUUCUCUACAAUCCAAUUUUUUGGAAUGUACAAUAUAGUUCAAGUAUUUUGGAUCUCAUUUGGGGCCUAUUUGAAAAUUCAAACCAUUCAUUUUGUAAACUCCAUCAUGAAAAUUAAUACUGUAAAAAAUCAUAUUGAUGGAAUCUAAAUCAAUGUCUAUUUAGUAUUAUUUUAUAACUUAAUAAAUUAAUAUGCACAUGUGAUUAUAUUCAUUUAUAUUGAUAUAAAUUGAUAUUGAUCGAUUAUUUAUUUGUAUCCGAUCAACGUGAUCUUUUUACCGUAUUAAACUUCUCAAUGAGAUCUACAGUAUAAAUUGAUAUUGAUCGACUAUUUUCUUUUACAUUUCGGAUAAUCAAAAUCCGCAUAAAUUGAGUUUUCUAAAUAUAUAAUUUUUUGUAUUGUUCCAGUUAAUACUGGUAGAGACGGAGACCUGUUUUUAUGGUAAAGUCUGGAAUUCUAAAAAUAUAGGAACCAUAAAGCUGAGCUUGACCGUUGACUUUUUGACGUUUUCAGCAACUACAAGUAUGGUCAAGCAGGGUAGUCGGGGCGGAUCCCAUAAACAAUCCCGAUU